rnacentral:lncRNA from 1 species
UAAUACGGUCUGAUACCAUAAUAUUUAUAUAACAAUAUCAUUUUAAAAAGCGAAAGUUCUCAUAUAUUAUAUGAUAACGAGACUUUCUCAUACUUUUCCAAGUAUCUGCUAAUUACGACAUAACUAUGUCUCAAGUACAUUAAAAGGCAUCAAAGGCUGCUGCUGACUUUAUUGAACCCCAAUCACAGACUUCAGGAAUCGCAACAUUUCAUUGAGCUCCACAAGAUCUGAGUCGUCCUUCAUUGAAGCAGGUGGCUUUACUCCAGUGACGAAGAAAAGAGCCCUGAGUUCAUCUACAAGUGAUAGCUGCAAAGCAGCCUUAUAACCCAUUAUGGUCCGAAUUGCAAAGAUUUGUUCCCAAAGCUUAUCCUCACUGUAUAAACCCU